GACAGAGGGUUGCAAACGUUUUUGUUUCGGAAUUACUGGGCGUAAAGCGAGUGUAGGCGGUCUGAAAAGUCGGGUGUGAAAGCCCGGGCUCAACCCGGGAAGUGCACUCGCAACUGCCAGGCUAGAGUGUCGGAGAGGUUGGUGGAAUUCUCGGUGUAGAGGUGAAAUUCGUAGAUAUCGAAGAGGAACACCGGUGGCGAAGGCGGCCAACUGGAC
rnacentral:rRNA from 1 species